rnacentral:rRNA from 1 species
UACGGAGGGUGCAAGCGUUACUCGGAAUCACUGGGCGUAAAGAGCGCGUAGGCGGGAUAGCAAGUCAGAUGUGAAAUCCUAUGGCUUAACCAUAGAACUGCAUUUGAAACUGUUAUUCUAGAGUAUGGGAGAGGUAGGUGGAAUUCUUGGUGUAGGGGUAAAAUCCGUAGAGAUCAAGAGGAAUACUCAUUGCGAAGGCAGCCUGCUGGACUGUAACUGACGCUGAUGCUCGAAAGUGUGGGUAUCAAACAGG